CCACCACCGUUGCCGAUUGGAGCAUUGCACCCUGCCCUCCUCAUCCUCAGAUUCCACGGCUUCGCCACGGCGGCUCCGGAGACGGAGCCCUUCAAGCUCCCCAUGUCGAAUUGAUGGAGGUGGAGACGAGAAAGGUCAAACAUGACAGGGCCGGAGCACAAGAAAUCAUAUCUGUAUAAGAUCGGGCAGCUGGAGCUGACUUAUUUGGACGGCAGGUGAAGAAGAAUUUUGUAUAUUGAAGGGAGUACGAGUGCUACAUUAUGUGUUUUUAUAUAAGUAAUAAGAAAUUUUAAUUUUUAAAUUAUUAAUAUUUUAACAUACAUAUCUCA